UGGGGAAUAUUGCACAAUGGGCGAAACCUGAUCCAGCCAUGCCGCGUGUGUGAAGAAGGUCUUCGGAUUGUAAAGCACUUUAAGUUGGGAGGAAGGGCAUUAACCUAAUACGUUGGUGUCUUGACGGUACCGACAGAAUAAGCACCGGCUAACUCUGUG
rnacentral:rRNA from 1 species